CAGCCGCCGCGGUAAUACGUAGGUGGCAAGCGUUGUCCGGAAUUAUUGGGCGUAAAGGGCACGCAGGCGGUUUCUUAAGUCUGAUGUGAAAGCCCCCGGCUCAACCGGGGAGGGUCAUUGGAAACUGGGAAACUUGAGUGCAGAAGAGGAGAGUGGAAUUCCACGUGUAGCGGUGAAAUGCAUAGAGAUGUGGAGGAACACCAGUGGCGAAGGCGACUCUCUGGUCUGUAACUGACGCUGAGGAGCGAAAGCGUGGGGAGCGAACAGGAUUAGAUACCCCCGUAGUCCCUGUCUCUUAUAC
rnacentral:rRNA from 1 species